rnacentral:rRNA from 1 species
UUAAGCGACUAAGCGUACACGGUGGAUGCCCUGGCAGUCAGAGGCGAUGAAGGACGUGCUAAUCUGCGAUAAGCGUCGGUAAGGUGAUAUGAACCGUUAUAACCGGCGAUUUCCGAAUGGGGAAACCCAGUGUGUUUCGACACACUAUCAUUAACUGAAUCCAUAGGUUAAUGAGGCGAACCGGGGGAACUGAAACAUCUAAGUACCCCGAGGAAAAGAAAUCAACCGAGAUUCCCCCAGUAGCGGCGAGCGAACGGGGAGCAGCCCAGAGCCUGAAUCAGUGUGUGUGUUAGUGGAAGCGUCUGGAAAGGCGCGCGAUACAGGGUGACAGCCCCGUACACAAAAAUGCACAUGCUGUGAGCUCGAUGAGUAGGGCGGGACACGUGGUAUCCUGUCUGAAUAUGGGGGGACCAUCCUCCAAGGCUAAAUACUCCUGACUGACCGAUAGUGAACCAGUACCGUGAGGGAAAGGCGAAAAGAACCCCGGCGAGGGGAGUGAAAAAGAACCUGAAACCGUGUACGUACAAGCAGUGGGAGCACGCUUAGGCGUGUGACUGCGUACCUUUUGUAUAAUGGGUCAGCGACUUAUAUUCUGUAGCAAGGUUAACCGAAUAGGGGAGCCGAAGGGAAACCGAGUCUUAACUGGGCGUUAAGUUGCAGGGUAUAGACCCGAAACCCGGUGAUCUAGCCAUGGGCAGGUUGAAGGUUGGGUAACACUAACUGGAGGACCGAACCGACUAAUGUUGAAAAAUUAGCGGAUGACUUGUGGCUGGGGGUGAAAGGCCAAUCAAACCGGGAGAUAGCUGGUUCUCCCCGAAAGCUAUUUAGGUAGCGCCUCGUGAAUUCAUCUCCGGGGGUAGAGCACUGUUUCGGCAAGGGGGUCAUCCCGACUUACCAACCCGAUGCAAACUGCGAAUACCGGAGAAUGUUAUCACGGGAGACACACGGCGGGUGCUAACGUCCGUCGUGAAGAGGGAAACAACCCAGACCGCCAGCUAAGGUCCCAAAGUCAUGGUUAAGUGGGAAACGAUGUGGGAAGGCCCAGACAGCCAGGAUGUUGGCUUAGAAGCAGCCAUCAUUUAAAGAAAGCGUAAUAGCUCACUGGUCGAGUCGGCCUGCGCGGAAGAUGUAACGGGGCUAAACCAUGCACCGAAGCUGCGGCAGCGACGCUGAUGCGUUGUUGGGUAGGGGAGCGUUCUGUAAGCCUGUGAAGGUGUGCUGUGAGGCAUGCUGGAGGUAUCAGAAGUGCGAAUGCUGACAUAAGUAACGAUAAAGCGGGUGAAAAGCCCGCUCGCCGGAAGACCAAGGGUUCCUGUCCAACGUUAAUCGGGGCAGGGUGAGUCGACCCCUAAGGCGAGGCCGAAAGGCGUAGUCGAUGGGAAACAGGUUAAUAUUCCUGUACUUGGUGUUACUGCGAAGGGGGGACGGAGAAGGCUAUGUUGGCCGGGCGACGGUUGUCCCGGUUUAAGCGUGUAGGCUGGUUUUCCAGGCAAAUCCGGAAAAUCAAGGCUGAGGCGUGAUGACGAGGCACUACGGUGCUGAAGCAACAAAUGCCCUGCUUCCAGGAAAAGCCUCUAAGCAUCAGGUAACAUCAAAUCGUACCCCAAACCGACACAGGUGGUCAGGUAGAGAAUACCAAGGCGCUUGAGAGAACUCGGGUGAAGGAACUAGGCAAAAUGGUGCCGUAACUUCGGGAGAAGGCACGCUGAUAUGUAGGUGAAGUCCCUCGCGGAUGGAGCUGAAAUCAGUCGAAGAUACCAGCUGGCUGCAACUGUUUAUUAAAAACACAGCACUGUGCAAACACGAAAGUGGACGUAUACGGUGUGACGCCUGCCCGGUGCCGGAAGGUUAAUUGAUGGGGUCAGCGCAAGCGAAGCUCUUGAUCGAAGCCCCGGUAAACGGCGGCCGUAACUAUAACGGUCCUAAGGUAGCGAAAUUCCUUGUCGGGUAAGUUCCGACCUGCACGAAUGGCGUAAUGAUGGCCAGGCUGUCUCCACCCGAGACUCAGUGAAAUUGAACUCGCUGUGAAGAUGCAGUGUACCCGCGGCAAGACGGAAAGACCCCGUGAACCUUUACUAUAGCUUGACACUGAACAUUGAGCCUUGAUGUGUAGGAUAGGUGGGAGGCUUAGAAGUGUGGACGCCAGUCUGCAUGGAGCCGACCUUGAAAUACCACCCUUUAAUGUUUGAUGUUCUAACGUUGACCCGUAAUCCGGGUUGCGGACAGUGUCUGGUGGGUAGUUUGACUGGGGCGGUCUCCUCCUAAAGAGUAACGGAGGAGCACGAAGGUUGGCUAAUCCUGGUCGGACAUCAGGAGGUUAGUGCAAUGGCAUAAGCCAGCUUGACUGCGAGCGUGACGGCGCGAGCAGGUGCGAAAGCAGGUCAUAGUGAUCCGGUGGUUCUGAAUGGAAGGGCCAUCGCUCAACGGAUAAAAGGUACUCCGGGGAUAACAGGCUGAUACCGCCCAAGAGUUCAUAUCGACGGCGGUGUUUGGCACCUCGAUGUCGGCUCAUCACAUCCUGGGGCUGAAGUAGGUCCCAAGGGUAUGGCUGUUCGCCAUUUAAAGUGGUACGCGAGCUGGGUUUAGAACGUCGUGAGACAGUUCGGUCCCUAUCUGCCGUGGGCGCUGGAGAACUGAGGGGGGCUGCUCCUAGUACGAGAGGACCGGAGUGGACGCAUCACUGGUGUUCGGGUUGUCAUGCCAAUGGCACUGCCCGGUAGCUAAAUGCGGAAGAGAUAAGUGCUGAAAGCAUCUAAGCACGAAACUUGCCCCGAGAUGAGUUCUCCCUGACCCUUUAAGGGUCCUGAAGGAACGUUGAAGACGACGACGUUGAUAGGCCGGGUGUGUAAGCGCAGCGAUGCGUUGAGCUAACCGGUACUAAUGAACCGUGAGGCUUAACCUU